AACGAACGCUGGCGGCAGGCCUAACACAUGCAAGUCGAGCGCCCCGCAAGGGGAGCGGCGGACGGGUGAGUAACACGUGGGAAUUUUCCUCAAGGUACGGAACAACUCAGGGAAACUUGGGCUAAUACCGUAUGAUGCAGAGAUGCCAAAGAUUUAUCGCCUUGGGAUAAGCCCGCGUCAGAUUAGGUAGUUGGUGGGGUAAUGGCCUACCAAGCCUGUGAUCUGUAGCUGGUCUGAGAGGACGAUCAGCCACAUUGGGACUGAGACACGGCCCAAACUCCUACGGGAGGCAGCAGUGGGGAAUCUUGCGCAAUGGACGAAAGUCUGACGCAGCCAUGCCGCGUGAAUGAUGAAGGUCUUAGGAUUGUAAAGUUCUUUAGCCUGUGACGAUGAUGACGGUAACAGGAGAAUAAGCCCCGGCUAACUUCGUG
rnacentral:rRNA from 2 species